rnacentral:rRNA from 1 species
AUGAAGAGGGGUAGGGGAGAAAGCUUCAACAUGCGGGAGGACGAGUUGUUGUGCGAUGCAUGGUUGGCCACUAGCCUUGAUCCUACCCAUGGCACGGAGCAAAAGGGUGGAGAUGUUUUAUAG